CACAGGACACUCAUCAUGGACAUAGGGCUCAUACUGGUUUUCUCGGUCCUUAUUUUAAAAGGUGUCCAGUGUGAGGUGCAAUUGCUGGAGUCUGGGGGAGGCUUAGUGCAGCCUGGAAAGUCCUUGAAACUCUCCUGCGCAGCCUCUGGAUUCACCUUCAGUGAUUAUUACAUGAACUGGGUCCGCCAGGCUUCCAGGAAAGGUUUGGAGUGGGUUGCAACCAUUUGUUACAAUGGUUGUAGCACCUGGUAUACUGACGCUGUGAAGGGCCGGUUCACAAUCUCCAGAGACAAUGCCGAGACACUCUGUACCUGGAAAUGAGGAGUUUGAAUUCUGAGGACACAGCCAUGUAUUACUGUGCAA